rnacentral:misc_RNA from 1 species
GAUGAAGAACGUAGCGAAAUGCGAUAAGUAAUGUGAAUUGCAGAAUUCAGUGAAUCAUCGAAUCUUUGAACGCACAUUGCGCCCCCUGGUAUUCCGGGGGGCAUGCCUGUUCGAGCGUCAUUACAACCCUCAAGCUCUGCUUGGUGUUGGGCCCCGCCGCCCCGGCGGGCCCUAAAAUCAGUGGCGGUGCCGUCCGGCUCCGAGCGUAGUAAUUCUUCUCGCUCUGGAGGUCCGGGUGUGUGCUCGCCAGCACCCCCCAAUUUUUUUCAGGUUGACCUCGGAUCAGGUAGGGAUACCCGCUGAACUUAAGCAUAUCAAUAAGCGGAGGA